GACCUCAUAGUUCAAUGGAUAGAACAAGGGACUCCUAAGCCCUAGAUGCAGGUUCGAUUCCUGCUGGGGUCACCA
rnacentral:tRNA from 1 species